CUCUCUCUCUGCCCCUCCCCUGCUCAUGCUCUCUCUCUCUCUCUCUCUCUCUCUCUGUCUCAAAAUAAAAUAAACUUAAGGUCCACAGUAACUACACAUGUUAAGACAUAUCCCUCAAGUCCUCCUUUGUUUAAAAAU